CCUACGGGAGGCAGCAGUGAGGAAUAUUGGGCAAUGGGCGAAAGCCUGACCCAGCAACGCCGCGUGAGGGAUGAAGGCCUUCGGGUUGUAAACCUCUUUUCUGGGAGAAGAGACAAGGACGGUAUCCCAGGAAUAAGUCUCGGCUAACUACGUGCCAGCAGCCGCGGUAAUAUGUAGGAGGCUAGCGUUAUCCGGAUUCACUGGGCGUAAAGCGCACGCAGGCGGUCAUGUAAGUCAGACGUGAAAGCUCCUGGCUCAACUGGGAGAGGUCGUUUGAUACUGCAUGGCUUGAGGUUGGGAGAGGGAAGCGGAAUUCCCGGUGUAGUGGUGGAAUGCGUAGAUAUCGGGAGGAACACCAGUGGCGAAAGCGGCUUCCUGGCCCAUACCUGACGCUCAGGUGCGAAAGCGUGGGGAGCGAACGGGAUUAGAUACCCCGGUAGUCCACGCUGUAAACGAUGCGAACUAGGUGUUGGUAGUAUUAAUCCUAUCAGUGCCGUAGCUAACGCGAUAAGUUCGCCGCCUGGGGACUACGGCCGCAAGGCUAAAACUCAAAGGAAUUGACGG
rnacentral:rRNA from 1 species